UCUUAUAGAUGAGCAAAGAAAGUGGUUUCUUGAAGUGGAAUCUACUCCUGGUGAAGAUGCUGUGAC
rnacentral:pre_miRNA from 1 species